GAGCACGUAGGUGGGUUUGUAAGUCAGAUGUGAAAGCCUUCUGUUCAACGGAAGAAUUGCAUCUGAAACUACAAACCUUGAGUAUAGGAGGGGAGAAUGGAACUUCUGGUGGAGCGGUGAAAUGCGUAGAUAUCAGAAGGAACGCCGGCGGCGAAAGCGAUUCUCUGGCCUAUUACUGACACUCAGUGUGCGAAAGCUAGGGGAGCAAACGGGAUUAGAUACCCCGGUAGUCCUAGCCGUAAACGAUGGGCACUAAGUAGAGGGGUUUU
rnacentral:rRNA from 3 species